AAACACAUUUGCGUGUGUGUAAAAAUAAAAGGAAUUAAGCGUUUAAAGUAGAUUCAUAUAUACACUAUCUGCUUUCCUCCCAAAUAUGUUUGCUUUCAAGUUUCCUCAAACCGUUUGUCAUAUUUUUAGGUAUUAAAAAUAUUAACAUAUAAUUUAUAAUAGUGCGAUCAACGUGGUCAUGGUAUUUGAUACACAUAAUAUAACUUGUAAGCAUACAAAAUUACACACAGAUUCGCAUAAAACAGGGGGUUUUAUUUUAUUUUAAUUUUAUCAUGUUUUUGAGAAAACAUGAAAGAAAAAGACCCAAAGAUAUAUAUUUAUUUUUCAUCAGUCAUAAGCACCCCCCAUACUUAGGCUGAAAGUUGAUCCAUCAGCACUUAAACGGAACCGCUGAAACCUUUAUUGUAAACAUAUUCAAUAAGGGAAUCCAACUCAUCAUUGGUGCAGUCGAUCAAAUUGUCCUUAUUUUUAUCAGCAACGUCCAUGGCCUCUUCGACUUGCUUGUUUGGCGUGAGUGCACCUAGAUGUUGAAAAGCAUCCUUGAGCUGGUCCCUGGUGAGGCUGCCCUGCUUAGAGUAAGAUCGAAACACUUGUUCCAAUUUGUUUUUCUGAUCCUUGUUAUCCUUUGUGGCUUGCAUUGUGGAUUUUGAGGUUUGUGACCGGGUGAUAUUAGAGAGAAGGCUUGCCUAGCUUGGUUUGGUUUUCUUUUCCAAUGCUACUUGUUUAUAUAGACCCAAAACUCUGAAUACGAUUCUGUUUAAGUGUUGGGGAAUAAAACAUUUUUUGGUGGUGGGUUUAAAAAAUUGAUUUCCAUCUUUUUUAUCAAUAAAAUUAAUAAAUCAAUCAACAAAUUUUAUAAUGAAUACUUAAAAAAAAAAUUCCAAGAGGAUUGGUACGAAUAAAAAUAUUAAUGUUAAUUUCUUCUUUUCUUCUGGCUUCAAAUUAACUACAGAUUGGAAAAAGCUAAACGGCAGCCUCCACUAUCUUGUGUCCAUUUUCUAUUGUUUCAUUUGUUUUAGCCCUCAAUUUGCAGUUUUUAGGUUUUUCUUUUUUGGUUCCCUGAUUAAAUGAUGCAUUUUGGUCCAUUUGGUUUUAAUGAAUUUCAGAAUUUGGUAGAUCUCGUGAAAGGAGUUCUAGGAAGUACUUUGAUGAGCAUGCUUGUAAAUUGUGAUAAUUAUUGUGUAUGAAUGUUAAGUUAUCCAAAAAUAAAUAAGUUUAGCAUUACGACUGUCUUUCUUUUUUUGUUUGCCAUAAAUGAUUCUGGAGCAAAGCAAACUACUGUUAAACUAAUUAUUUGCAUUGUACCACUUCCAGGAAUCAUGGCCUUAGUGGGUUAAAAUCGUAUACAUGUUUCUCUCUCAUAUGUUCUUAAUCUGGGUAGGAUAGAAUGAAGUUUGGGCUAUUUCAAUUCCUUUGCACCUUUUUUCCCUUGUACUGUAAUAUUUUCUCAACCACCCUUUUGCAAGGGGAAAGCUGUAAUAUAUUAUAUAUAUAUAUAUAUAUAUAUAUAUAUAUUUUUAAAUUAGAUAAUUUUGUAAAAAAAUUAUAUUGAUGGAAGUGUGUACAUGGUAGUCAGAUUUUAUUUUUUCAUUUCUUCAUUUUUUAUAAAGCUUUAUUUUUAAAAAGUUCCUAAUAAAAAUUUUUACAAGAAUAAAUCAUCAUUAUUAACAUUGCAUGACAAUUCAAUUUUUUUUCCUUUUUAUUUGUUUUGAUUUUCAUUUUCAUUUUUUCAUUUUUAGUUUUUUUUCUCCCUUUAUUUUUUACUAGAUCAAUUGUUUCAGUGAAAAAAACUCAUCGGAUGUGCCCACAUGACAUCCUAUUUUAUUUUUUGAUUCUUUUUUUUUAAUUAGACAAAUAAUACAGUAAAAAAAUCAGUAUAUAAAUUUUAUAAGAUAAAAAUCAAUUGAAGUAUAGACAACAAAAUAUCUUGUAUCCGAUAUGUUUUGAUUCCUAUGGAUCAAUCGGUGUGCUUUUUCUUUUUUUUUAAUUUAGGAUUGGAAACCUUAAAAAAUAUGAAUUAUUACCAAAUUACAAUAGUAUCAUCUACUAAAAUAAUUUUGUAAGAAACCUUAUGAAGUAAGAAACGGAAAACUUAUAAUUGAAAAAUGAAUUAAUUAAUAGUAGGAUAGAAAAAUAAUUUAAAAGAUUACAAUUAGUAAUUUCAUAAUCAAAUAAAUGAAUUUUUUUUAAAUUAAUGUAAAGCUAUGUUUUCUAAACCAAAGAAAUGCACAAAUGACACUACAAAUUGAUCCUUCAUAUAUGCCUCACAAACAUUUUAAUAAAAUUACAAAAAAAAAUUUAACUAUUUCCAAAAAUAAAAUCUUGAUAUAUAUAAUUUUGCUAAAUAAGGUAUUUAAACUUUUGAUAAAUGAAAUCUUACUUGAAAUCCUGCAAUUAAUUAACUAAUUUUGAUAGUUUAGUUUUCAUUAAAGUGUAAUUUUCUUUUGCUUGCUAAGACCAACAUCUAUAUGUACUUUAAUUUUUUUGUCAAAUAGCUAUAGUUUUAUCAAAAUCAUUUUCAUCUAUACUUACAUAUAAGCACGUGCAAAAACAAAUGCAUAAAUGUGUGUAAAAUUAAAAAGAAUUAAGCAUUUAAUUAGAUUCAUAUAUAUAGAUAUAUAUAUAUAUAUACAUACACAUACACACACUAUCUGUAUUCCUCAUAAAUAGGUUGAUUUUCAAGUUUUCUCGAAACCUUUUAUCAUGUUUUUAAGUAAUAAAAAUAUUAGUGUAUGGUUCAUAAUAGUACGAUAACAUGUUCAUGGUAUUUGAUACACACAAUAUAACUUGCAAGCAUGUAAAAUUACACAGAUUUGAAUAAAAACAGGGGGUUUUAUUUUAUUUUAAUUUUAGCAUGUUUUUGAGAUAACAUGAAGGAAAAAGACCCAAAGCUAUAUAUUUAUUUUCAUCAGUCAUAAGCAUCCCCCAUACUUAGGCUGAAAGUUGAUCCAUCAGCACUCAAACGGAACUGCUGAAGCCUUUAUUGUAAGCAUAUUCAAUAAGGGAAUCCAACUCAUCAUUGGUGCAGUCGAUCAAAUUGUCCUUAUUUUUAUCAGCAACGUCCAUGGCCUCUUCGACUUGCUUGUUUGGCGUGAGUGCACCUAGAUGUUGAAAAGCAUCCUUGAGCUGGUCCCUGGUGAGGCUGCCCUGCUUAGAGUAAGAUCGAAACACCUGUUCCAAUUUGUUUUUCUGAUCCUUGUUAUCCUUUGUGGCUUGCAUUGUGGAUUUUGAGGUUAUGACAGGGUGAUAUUAGAGAGAAGGCUUGCCUAGCUUGGUUUGGUUUUCUUUUUCCAACGCAAUUCGUUUAUAUAGACCCAAAACUUUGAAUACGAUUCUGUUGAAGUAUAGGGGUAUAAAACAUUAUUUGGUGGUGGGUUUUAAUAAUUGAUUUCCGUC
rnacentral:lncRNA from 1 species